rnacentral:rRNA from 2 species
UGUGAGCUCGAUGAGUAGGGCGGGACACGUGGUAUCCUGUCUGAAUAUGGGGGGACCAUCCUCCAAGGCUAAAUACUCCUGACUGACCGAUAGUGAACCAGUACCGUGAGGGAAAGGCGAAAAGAACCCCGGCGAGGGGAGUGAAAAAGAACCUGAAACCGUGUACGUACAAGCAGUGGGAGCACGCUUAGGCGUGUGACUGCGUACCUUUUGUAUAAUGGGUCAGCGACUUAUAUUCUGUAGCAAGGUUAACCGAAUAGGGGAGCCGAAGGGAAACCGAGUCUUAACUGGGCGUUAAGUUGCAGGGUAUAGACCCGAAACCCGGUGAUCUAGCCAUGGGCAGGUUGAAGGUUGGGUAACACUAACUGGAGGACCGAACCGACUAAUGUUGAAAAAUUAGCGGAUGACUUGUGGCUGGGGGUGAAAGGCCAAUCAAACCGGGAGAUAGCUGGUUCUCCCCGAAAGCUAUUUAGGUAGCGCCUCGUGAAUUCAUCUCCGGGGGUAGAGCACUGUUUCGGCAAGGGGGUCAUCCCGACUUACCAACCCGAUGCAAACUGCGAAUACCGGAGAAUGUUAUCACGGGAGACACACGGCGGGUGCUAACGUCCGUCGUGAAGAGGGAAACAACCCAGACCGCCAGCUAAGGUCCCAAAGUCAUGGUUAAGUGGGAAACGAUGUGGGAAGGCCCAGACAGCCAGGAUGUUGGCUUAGAAGCAGCCAUCAUUUAAAGAAAGCGUAAUAGCUCACUGGUCGAGUCGGCCUGCGCGGAAGAUGUAACGGGGCUAAACCAUGCACCGAAGCUGCGGCAGCGACGCUUAUGCGUUGUUGGGUAGGGGAGCGUUCUGUAAGCCUGCGAAGGUGUGCUGUGAGGCAUGCUGGAGGUAUCAGAAGUGCGAAUGCUGACAUAAGUAACGAUAAAGCGGGUGAAAAGCCCGCUCGCCGGAAGACCAAGGGUUCCUGUCCAACGUUAAUCGGGGCAGGGUGAGUCGACCCCUAAGGCGAGGCCGAAAGGCGUAGUCGAUGGGAAACAGGUUAAUAUUCCUGUACUUGGUGUUACUGCGAAGGGGGGACGGAGAAGGCUAUGUUGGCCGGGCGACGGUUGUCCCGGUUUAAGCGUGUAGGCUGGUUUUCCAGGCAAAUCCGGAAAAUCAAGGCUGAGGCGUGAUGACGAGGCACUACGGUGCUGAAGCAACAAAUGCCAUGCUUCCAGGAAAAGCCUCUAAGCAUCAGGUAACAUCAAAUCGUACCCCAAACCGACACAGGUGGUCAGGUAGAGAAUACCAAGGCGCUUGAGAGAACUCGGGUGAAGGAACUAGGCAAAAUGGUGCCGUAACUUCGGGAGAAGGCACGCUGAUAUGUAGGUGAAGCGACUUGCUCGUGGAGCUGAAAUCAGUCGAAGAUACCAGCUGGCUGCAACUGUUUAUUAAAAACACAGCACUGUGCAAACACGAAAGUGGACGUAUACGGUGUGACGCCUGCCCGGUGCCGGAAGGUUAAUUGAUGGGGUCAGCGCAAGCGAAGCUCUUGAUCGAAGCCCCGGUAAACGGCGGCCGUAACUAUAACGGUCCUAAGGUAGCGAAAUUCCUUGUCGGGUAAGUUCCGACCUGCACGAAUGGCGUAAUGAUGGCCAGGCUGUCUCCACCCGAGACUCAGUGAAAUUGAACUCGCUGUGAAGAUGCAGUGUACCCGCGGCAAGACGGAAAGACCCCGUGAACCUUUACUAUAGCUUGACACUGAACAUUGAGCCUUGAUGUGUAGGAUAGGUGGGAGGCUUUGAAGUGUGGACGCCAGUCUGCAUGGAGCCGACCUUGAAAUACCACCCUUUAAUGUUUGAUGUUCUAACGUUGACCCGUAAUCCGGGUUGCGGACAGUGUCUGGUGGGUAGUUUGACUGGGGCGGUCUCCUCCUAAAGAGUAACGGAGGAGCACGAAGGUUGGCUAAUCCUGGUCGGACAUCAGGAGGUUAGUGCAAUGGCAUAAGCCAGCUUGACUGCGAGCGUGACGGCGCGAGCAGGUGCGAAAGCAGGUCAUAGUGAUCCGGUGGUUCUGAAUGGAAGGGCCAUCGCUCAACGGAUAAAAGGUACUCCGGGGAUAACAGGCUGAUACCGCCCAAGAGUUCAUAUCGACGGCGGUGUUUGGCACCUCGAUGUCGGCUCAUCACAUCCUGGGGCUGAAGUAGGUCCCAAGGGUAUGGCUGUUCGCCAUUUAAAGUGGUACGCGAGCUGGGUUUAGAACGUCGUGAGACAGUUCGGUCCCUAUCUGCCGUGGGCGCUGGAGAACUGAGGGGGGCUGCUCCUAGUACGAGAGGACCGGAGUGGACGCAUCACUGGUGUUCGGGUUGUCAUGCCAAUGGCACUGCCCGGUAGCUAAAUGCGGAAGAGAUAAGUGCUGAAAGCAUCUAAGCACGAAACUUGCCCCGAGAUGAGUUCUCCCUGACUCCUUGA